UUGAACGUCACAGAGAGCGUAGAACGCUCGGCCUCCCUGGAGUCUUAAAGGGGCCGUAGCCCCUGCAUGACGUGAUUGCCAGGAGCGAUUUGGUGCACUGCAUUAUGGAAGGGGCUUCCGGGAACCCGGAGGAGGAUUGCGAGGAAGCCAAAGAUCCAGACAGCAAAGACAUUGGAAAAGGACAGUCAUCCCCAGCAACUAAUAAUUCAGGAAGUGUUCCAGAGUAUGACAACAACAGAGAGAUGGAACCAGAGGAGACCAUAGAGGAGGCAAAUAUAGGCACAGGUUCCGAAGAUCAUCCAGGAAGAGUUAAAAGUGGAACUCCCAUAUCUUCAGCUAGGUCAUCUUAUAAAGAGAGCCAAGAGGAAAAGAUUGAUAGCAGUCCAGAGCCUAGAUCAGAUAUUACCUCCUUGGAAAGAUCAUCAGGGCUGUCCUCCCAAGAACCCACUAAGGCAUUAUCGUCAAGCAAAGGAUCUAAAGGCCAUCCUACAAUAUUGGGAGGAGUCAGGAGAGAAAGCUCUGCUGUGUGUUACUUAAGCAGGGAGGUGUUGGAUACCGUUGCUGCCAAUUUGUCCGAAAAACCCUUAGGAAUAUCUGUAUCAAUGCAGACAGAUGCGAGCUGGCUUCAUGACCAUGUUUACAAGAAGAAGACUCCAAGGGAAGAAAAGUUUCCUCCUGAGAACGAUAUCUAUGCUGUCCUGGCCCAAGACCUCAGCUGUUUAGACAUUUUGUGCGACACGGAGUUUAGAGAAGACUUCUUAAAGCUGUUUCAGGAAUCGCUGCGCACUCUCUCCAGUGUUGGCCCACCAAGCAUAUUAGCGUAUAGACCGGAAUCAUCAAGAGGAGACAUUCAUAUAGAGUUUGAAAAAGACUAUCGAGAAAUCUGUGAGUUCUGUGGCAGCCCACUGAGAAAUUAUCCUUCAUUUGAAAGUCUAGAAAAAAUAGCAGAGUAUGGAUACCUCUUCUGUUGCCAGCAAUGCAGAGAGCUUCAUGAAUUCAUUGUCAGUGAAAAAAACCGCUAUGCAAAGGAAGAAAUUGAGCUGAUUGAUAUUUCCAUUAAGCAGUCCCAUGGAAGCGAGGUUGAGAGACAACAAGCCAGGGAAAGAGCCCGCCAGAGGAUGAAGGCAAGACAAAUGGCCCAACAGUAUGCCUACAUGGCAACAGAGCCAGAAAGGGGCAUCAUUCCAACUCAUGCCUUUGAAUAUUGCUGUGGGCUGGCAGAACAUAAGAACAUAAGAAGAGCCUGCUGGAUCAGGCCAGUGGUCCAUCUAGCCCAGCAUCCUGUUCUCACAGUGGCCAACCAGAUGCCUAUGGGAAGCCCGCAAGCAGGACCUGAGCGCAACAGCACUCUCCCCACUUGUGAUUCCCAGCAACUGGCAUUCGGGAGUAUAUUGCCUCCAACAGUGGAGGUAGAACAUAUCUAUGAGGAUAAUAAGCAACUUAGUACAAUUUCCUACUGCCUAUCCGAAAUGGAACCUUCUUCAAUGGGCUGGACAAAGAUUCCUCCCCACGAAAUGGAAGAAGAACGGUCAAGGAGCCAAGACAUGACCUACAGGGUCUCUUGCUGCGAUUUUACUAUUGCGGGUGGAAAGUUGUUGAAAAACCAGUUCUUACAACAAUACUACAAAAAUGGUGUGAAGUUUCUUACCAUAUUCCCAGAUGGCACUGCACAAAUAUUCUAUCCCUCUGGAAAUCUGGCAGUUAUCAUUGUACGAAAGAAUGAGGACAUGGGCUACAUUUGUAUAGUACAAGAAGACAAGCUUGAGAAUGCAGAAAUCCAAGCAGUGUUUGAUUCCUGUGGCAAAGGGACUUGCUAUCAUCCAAAUGGAAAUGUAUGGAUAAAUAUUACAAUUCGAGGAGGACAUUAUUCAGACCAAGCUGGCAACAAAGUGAAAACAUGGAUUUGGCCAAACAAUUUGCAGAAUUGCAUUGCCAGAGUAACAUUUAAGCCAGUCUUUCUAUCAUUGAACCAGAAUGUCGGUGUCAGGAUACAUGGGCAAGAAAGAAUCGUCAUUUCUUUUCUUGCGAUGGGAAAACAGGCAAAAAUCAACAUUGGAGCAAAUGUACAGCCACUUGCUGAUCAUCACCCAUGGCCAAAGCACGUCUCUAAAGAUGACCUCCUGCUAUUUGCAUACAGAAUAAAGAUUCUCCGCAUCUUUACUAAACUGCAUGGAUGUUUAGAUUUUCCAACCAAUGACUGGUGGGCUAAACUCCAGCUCCCUUCAUAUCUAUUGAAUCGGGCUUUGAAGUUAAUACACCUUUGUAAAGAGUGUGAAAAAAACUGAUCUACGAAUGGAGCCCUGCUCAUCCUAUUGACAGAUUCCCUAUCCAUUUCGAAGAGAGCCACUGUGGUGUAGUGGUUAAGGUGUUGGACUACAACCUGGGAGACCAGAGUUCGAAUCCCCACAGCCAUGAAGCUCACUGGGUGACCUUGGGCAAGUCACUGCCUCUCAGCCUCAGAGGAAGAAAAUGAUACAGGAUCAGUCUCAGGCCCGGAACCUGGCAAGCCUACAUCACAAUGACAUCUGGUAACGAUCAUCAGGUCUUCUAAGUACCAUGCUUGAAAAGAGCCCUUCAUAGCACUUUGAAGUGCCACUGAUCAGCAGGCUUUGAAGUGACCACCUAUCAGCUGAUGGGUAGUGACUUGAAGCCUACUUUCUGAAGGGAUCAGCUGUGUGAUCACAUUCCCCAUGGGGAACAACAUCUCUACCUGCAACACACCUGAUGCCACCAGGUGGGUAUGGUUUGAGGAAAACAGGCCAAACUGGGACUUGUGCUGAGCCAAUUUGGCCCAUGGCCCAGAAGUUCCAUACCACCACUCUAAAUAAUUGAAGUUCAAAAAGUGACUCUGUUCUGAAA